GGAGCCCAGCUCCCAAAAUCCACUCAGCAGCCACACCAGUGGGGAUUGUCAGACAUCGCACCUCAGGGAGGGAGGGACGUGGUGCUGAGGGGCGCUGAGGGGAACCCUACGGCUCCCGAACCGGGGCGUGACGGGAGAGGGGCGCUGAGGGGAACCGGUGCCCGGGGUCCCACUGCUCAGGGCGAGGGUUUUUUGAGGUGCCCUCCAGCCGAGGAAGGAGGGGGGCGACCGAAACCAAACACAGCUAGCCCCGCGACCCCCGCGGGCUCGCCCUGCGCCACAGCCGGGUCCCGGCGUGUGCCGGGGCCGGGGCCGGUCGGAGCGGCGCUCCCGCUCCCACUUCGCCUUGGCAGGGCACCGCCAUCAGACGGAGUGGGAGGAAGGAACAUUAACUCCAGCAGCUGUUUCUUGACCCCGGCUGUCAGCCUGCCCGAGAACACAUCAUCUGUGACCAGAAAGCACGCAGGCAUACCUGCACCACUGUCCUCAUCUGUGCCGAGAAGCCCUAAGAGAUGGAAAGCUUUGGCUGGCAAAGUGCUGAUCGUUAGUGCAGCUUGUGCUCAGGAAGUGCUCAAAGGACACGUGUACCUUUCACUGAGUGAGCAGUCCCACUUGCCUUGGCAGGAUGAUUAUGUUCUGGAGAAUAGGAGUGGGAGUUCCUGUAAUAGUUUGUCCAGUGUAUGCUUCUGUCUGUGCCAGCUUUGGGGGGCAGAUGAGACAGCAGUGACAGUGUCUCAGCACAAGCUUCUAGGUCUGAACUACAGAGGAAAGGAUGCUGGUAGUGGCUGUGCAAUCCUCUAUCUGAAAGUCCUGAGGUUACAGGGCACAUUUCUUUGA
rnacentral:lncRNA from 1 species